AAUCCCCCAUAAGGCCCCAUAAAUCCCCCAUAGAACCCCAUAGGACCCCAUAAGACCCCAUAAAACCCCACAGAACCCCAUAGAACCCCAUAGAACCCCAUAAAACCCCAUAGAACCCCAUAAAUCCCCCAUAGAACCCCAUAGGACCCCAUAAAACCCCACAGAACCCCAUAAGGCCCCAUAAAACCCCAUAGAACCCCAUAAGACCCCAUAAAACCCCAUAGAACCCCAUAGUACCCCAUAGAACCCCAUAGAACCCCAUAAAACCCCAUAGAACCCCAUAGGACCC